ensembl:lncRNA
GUUUUGUGUAAAUGAUGUGACUUCAUGAGGAACUGGGGCUCUGAGAACUUGCCCACCAAGGAAUAUUUUGCAGUGAGAGCAACCACUGGCACAGCCUCCUCAGGGACAUGCGGUCCUCUUUGUGUCAGAGCAAAGCAUGGGAGUCGCACCACGCGUGACGCCUGCAUGGCAGCACACACCGAGCCGCGGAGACGUCACACAAGCAGAUGUGCCACAGCCCUUUGGAGCAGUGAGCGAACGAACCAGUUGCACAUCUGCACUGAGCAAGCCAAAGCAUGAAUCCUGAAGGCACGAGUGGAAACAAAGAGGUCAGUGCCUUCAGAGCCCCCAGCUCUGUGCACACGGUGCCGGCCCAUUGCCCACCAGCAGCGUGGGGCUGCAGUGGGGGCUGUGGGGCUUCAUGCUGCAGCUGCCCCAGAGAAGGCCAGCAGAGACCCUGCUGGUGUGCAUCACCAUUGGAAACAAGAGGGGGAAUGGGUGUUGCUUAGCAAUGCACUACGGCACGCUCCAGUCCUGGGGAAUGGGCAAAGAGCUGUCAGAAACCCCAGCAUUAUUAUUACUGUUAUUGCAAGAGCACCCAGAUGCACACGGCGCUUUGCAGACAAAAGUAAUCGGUGGGCCUUCAGCCUGUGGAGCUGCAGUGGCACAGGAUGCUGCCCCAGGCAGCAGCGGACACGGGCUGUGGAGCAGAACAGCACAGCAUGGCCCCUUUUGGCCCUCUCCCUGCACCCACUGAUGGUGUGGGAAGGUUUCUUUCUGAGCACGUGAAAGUGAAAAGUGAGCGCUGCCAAACUUCACUUUGCAUCUCUCUGUCCCGGGCUGCUGAAGCUGCAGUGCAGCCGCUGGUGCACGGUGUUGAUCUGAGCUGGUGUGCACCUGAUUGCUUCGUUACCGGGUCGGCUGUCACAUCCAUAGGAGCAGUGUCACGUUCUGAAGGACCCAUUAACACCUGUUGUGUGUGGGGAGGUAUCCUGCAGGCUCUGCAAACCGUGCCGGCUGCUUGCUGUGCGAGAUGGACGUUUCCUUCUGGUGUGGCUGCUCUGAUGUACACACAGACACCUCGCUUCCAAAGGCAGACACACAGCUGCUGUUGCACUGGAGCAGCCCUGGUAGUGGGUCAUUGUACUGCUCUGAGCAUCUCUGGCACUGGGACCCAAAUAUAACACGAGCACUUGAUCCGGCACACAUUUUGGAUAACAGAAAACUUCCUACAGCUUUUAAUGAGUUCUGGACCGGGUCCCAGGUCGUCGUCGUGCUGUUUUGUGAAAUUACUGAGAUUUAUGUCCGGCUAUUUAAUAUCAGCCUGAAAAAAGACCCCAAAGCCCUGCCCCCGCUCAGCAACGUGUCGUGCUCCCCAGCCAAAGACUUUAAUCUUUCAUCUUGUUUGGUUUUUUCCCUCUGCGCUGAUGUUUUUUUUUCCUAACUCGGCCACCUCAGCACAACGUUUUGCAGGCACCUGGCAGAGCGCAAUGCAGCAGCUGCAGGCAGGCCGUGGCUUCCAGGAGGUCAGACGGUGAGCGGUGCAGGGCAGCCCUCCCUAUUGGGGUCCGGCAGUGCCCAUCUCCAGCUGGAGCCGCCGCGGAGGGGCCGUGCUGUGCCGGGGAGCUCCGAGCCGAUCGUUUUAAUACCAGAGCGACACCAAAGGGGGUCAAGUAAAUAAAUAUGCAUGCCUCACUAGUUCAAAAUAAUAAAAUUCCAAUGUGUGCAAGCCUGCUUGUUGAACAUAUGUUUGCGGCACGGCUAAGCCAUCUGGCUCAAUGUCAAGCAUUUACACCAACUGCAGUCUUACACUACCUGACAGCAGAAAAGCUUUAUUCCCCUGGUGUUUGGGCACAAAUGGAGAAAUAUUAUUGAAAUGAUUAUCUGCAUCAAGACUCAGAUUUGGUUUGACAUUUAGCUGGCUCUGUUUAAUCCAAAGGGUUGUCUGAAUGAAUAAAGAGAAGGGUUCCUCCAGAAGAUGCUGCGAGCGGCCGGGAGAGCCAAAUGAUUAAUGAGAGCCGGAGCCGGGCGCACCCUGCCCACCUCCACCCGCAUCGGGAAUGAGGACGCACUGCAGCCUGGUGGGAUGCGCACAGCCACAGUUCUGGGCAGAAGGGACUGGGAAGGACUGCUCCACAUCCCGGCUAAAUCCAUCUACGGGAAGUCCCAGGGCGCAUCCCUGCAUCAGAGCCGGUGCUGCAGGAGAGGAGAGCGUCCCGUGCCGUCCUGGUGCCGUGCAGAGGGUGCGUUGCAGGUCUGGAGAGGGUCCAUCCCGGCUCCUUUGUAGAAAGGUGUGCCGUGACACAGGAACAAAGGAAGAACAAGAGCGCGAAGUUUGGAGCAAGUUAAUAAAAAGCGAGUGGGAGCAGGAUUUGUUUGAACUCACAGGGCUCGCACUGACAGAGACAAAUCUAUCCGAGGAAUCAGGCGUGCUACAUCUGAAAAUAAAAUGGGAUGGAGCUGCAGAGCACGGGGUGAUGAGCAGCGUUACGGCCCAGAGAGCCGCUCUGCCUGGGAGUGCUGAGCAAAGAGCCCCUCCCUCCCCCUGGGAACGCACUGUACCAUUUUAUUCCCCUUUUUCUUUACAUUUCCACUUCCGAUCGCUGAUUUGGAUUUAAAAUUAAUUUGGUGAUUUGAGUUUAAUAAGAAUGUUAGACAUGAUUUCCUUCUCACUCUUACUUUUAAUUAACUUUUUAAUUGAGAUUUAAAUGAAUUCUAAUGAACAGAAUUGGUCGCCUGAUGGAUUUGUUGCAGCGGCGUGGUGAGGGAUCAGCGUGCAGGCAGCAGCGUGAUGUAUCGCUCUGCGAUGUCAAACAGCUACAGGUUAAUUUUUCGGCAGAGGUUACUUAAUGUCGG